UACGGAGGGUGCGAGCGUUAAUCGGAAUAACUGGGCGUAAAGGGCACGCAGGCGGGCUUUUAAGUGAGGUGUGAAAUCCCCGGGCUUAACCUGGGAAUUGCAUUUCAUACUGGGAGUCUUGAGUUCUUUAGAGAUGGGUAGAAUUCCACGUGUAGCGGUGAAAUGCGUAGAGAUGUGGAGGAAUACCGAUUGCGAAGGCAGCCCCCUGGCCAUGUACUGACGCUCAUGUGCGAAAGCGUGGGGAGCAAACAGG
rnacentral:rRNA from 1 species